GUGGGGAAUAUUGGACAAUGGGCGCAAGCCUGAUCCAGCCAUGCCGCGUGAGUGAUGAAGGCCCUAGGGUUGUAAAGCUCUUUCACCGGAGAAGAUAAUGACGGUAUCCGGAGAAGAAGCCCCGGCUAACUUCGUGCCAGCAGCCGCGGUAAUACGAAGGGGGCUAGCGUUGUUCGGAAUUACUGGGCGUAAAGCGCACGUAGGCGGAAAUUUAAGUCAGGGGUGAAAUCACGGAGCUCAACUCCGGAACUGCCUUUGAUACUGGGUGUCUGGAGUAUGGAAGAGGUGAGUGGAAUUCCGAGUGUAGAGGUGAAAUUCGUAGAUAUUCGGAGGAACACCAGUGGCGAAGGCGGCUCACUGGUCCAUUACUGACGCUGAGGUGCGAAAGCGUGGGGAGCAAACAGGAUUAGAUACCCGGGUAGUCC
rnacentral:rRNA from 1 species